GGAUCUUUUAAUAAGCAAACAUAAUUAUCUUGUGAUCAAUCAUUAAACUGGAAGAAAGGAAAGAUAAUUUUCAAUUCGAUAAGCAAAAUCCAACUACACUGUAAUCGUGAGAGAUCUAGGAAGACAGUGUGGAAAGGGUUUUGUUCUCACCCUGGAAGGAAACUAUGUAUUAAUAUACUAUCAAAAGAAUUGAAGAAUGAAUGCAUCCUGAUUACUAAAAA
rnacentral:lncRNA from 1 species